rnacentral:rRNA from 1 species
UGGGGAAUUUUGCACAAUGGGCGCAAGCCUGAUGCAGCGACGCCGCGUGAGGGAUGAAGGCCUUCGGGUUGUAAACCUUUUUCGCUCAUGGUCAAGCCGCAGCUUUGGGUUGUGGUGAGGGUAGUGGGUAAAGAAGCGCCGGCUAACUACGUGCCAGCAGCCGCGGUAAUACGUAGGGCGCGAGCGUUGUCCGGUAUUAUUGGGCGUAAAGGGCUUGUAGGCGGUUGGCCGCGUCUGCCGUGAAAUCCUCUGGCUUAACUGGGGGCGUGCGGUGGGUACGGGUUGACAUGAGUGCGGUAGGGGAGACUGGAAUUCCUGGUGUAGCGAUGGAAUGCGCAGAUAUCAGGAGGAACCCCGGUGGCGAAGGCGGGUCUCUGGGCCGUUACUGACGCUGAGGAGCGAAAGCGUGGGGAGCGAACAGG